rnacentral:rRNA from 1 species
UACGGAGGGUGCGAGCGUUGUCCGGAUUUAUUGGGUUUAAAGGGUGCGUAGGCUGGAGGGACAGUCAGCGGUGAAAAGCAGUUGCUCAACAAUUGUCUUGCCGCAGAUACUACCUUUCUUGGAUUGGGAGGAGGUUACCGGAACGGAUGGUGUAGCGGUGAAAUGCAUAGAUAUCAUCCAGAACGCCAAUUGCGAAGGCAGGUAACUGUACCUAUAUCGACGCUGAUGCACGAAAGCAUGGGUAGCGAACAGG